GAUGAACGCUGGCGGCGUGCUUAACACAUGCAAGUCGAACGUGAGGGGGUAGCAAUAUACCUUGAAAGUGGCGCACGGGUGAGUAAUACGUAGGUAACCUGCCCUGAAGAGGGGGAUAACAGCUGGAAACGGCUGCUAAAACCGCAUGACACCGGAUGCUCGGGAGGGCGACUGGUGAAAGCUCUGGUGCUUCAGGAGGGGCCUGCGGCCGAUUAGCUAGUUGGCGGGGUAAUGGCCCACCAAGGCAGUGAUCGGUAGCUGGUCUGAGAGGACGAUCAGCCACACGGGAACUGAGACACGGUCCCGACUCCUACGGGGGGCAGCAGUGAGGAAUAUUGGGCAAUGGGCGGAAGCCUGACCCAGCAACGCCGCGUGGAGGAAGACGGCCUUCGGGUUGUAAACUCCUUUUUUGGGGGAAGAGCGAGGACGGUACCCCAAGAAUAAGUCACGGCUAACUACGUG
rnacentral:rRNA from 1 species